AAGUCGUAACAAGGUUUCCGUAGGUGAACCUGCGGAAGGAUCAUUAAUGAAUGAUAAUUUUUUUGGGGUUUUUAAUCUCAAAAAAUAAUUCACCUUUUGUGCAUUGUUAUUAGAUAUACUUUGGUUAGAGUUUGAUUUCAUUAUUGGAAUCAACUUCUAGCUGACUCUAUCCUAUUAUAUGGGACAGUUGGCUAUGAAGCGGCCUACCAAGGUUUUUUAUCAAACACAUUUAAUCCAACUGACCUAAAAACAAAUAAUUAAAUCAUAACUUUCAACAACGGAUCUCUUGGCUCUC
rnacentral:misc_RNA from 1 species